UUUGCUUGCUUAUCAUACCCAAUACAACUUGAGCAAGGAGGUAUAAAUGGAAGCGACGCAGUGACAAGAGCGAACAGUUAAAUUUGUAAGAGAGUAGGAGUAUAAAGUUGAAUACACACUGACGAGAAUAUUUAGUAAGGUUUCCAGCCAUGCGAUCCGUCAAGACUGUGCUGAUCCUGAUAGUCCUGGCAUUUGUAUUGCUACCAAUUUUGUGCGCCCAGCAAUGCAAACUUUUAGGGCUACCCGUACCACUCACGGAAUGCAAAGAACAAUGUGAAGUCCAGGAAUAUCCUCUCGCAACGUGCCCUUCUGGGAUGACAUGCUGCUUAUUAGGCUGAAGGCAAAACCAAAUAUUCUGAAAGCAAUUAUUUAAUUUGUUUCAAAAACUGAAUAUAAAACCAAAAUUUAUGAACUCUAAAAAUAACAUGAGAUGAUAAAAUUGGGCAACAAGUAAUUUGCAUAGAUACUCGCAGAAUUAAAAAAAAAUAUUGUAUGUUAAAAAGUUGACACAAAUGUCGUUAUAUUUCUCUAAAUAAAAUUCAGUUUGAUGUCACGUACA